rnacentral:rRNA from 1 species
AACGAACGCUGGCGGCAUGCCUAACACAUGCAAGUCGAACGAGACCUUCGGGUCUAGUGGCGCACGGGUGCGUAACGCGUGGGAACCUUCCCUUAGGUUCGGAAUAACUCCCCGACAGGGGUGCUAAUACCGGAUAAUGUCUUCGGACCAAAGAUUUAUCGCCUUUGGAUGGGCCCGCGUUGGAUUAGCUAGUUGGUAGGGUAAAAGCCUACCAAGGCGACGAUCCAUAGCUGGUCUGAGAGGAUGAUCAGCCACACUGGGACUGAGACACGGCCCAGACUCCUACGGGAGGCAGCAGUGGGGAAUAUUGGACAAUGGGCGAAAGCCUGAUCCAGCAAUGCCGCGUGAGUGAUGAAGGCAGUAGGGUUGUAAAGCUCUUUUAACUGGGAUGAUAAUGACAGUACCGGGAGAAUAAGCUCCGGCUAACUCCGUG